rnacentral:rRNA from 1 species
AUGGCGGAAGCUUUGGCCCUCAAAUUUGGACUAACACUAGCGCAAAGGGCAGGGUGCAAUCGCCUAAUCAUCAACUCAAAUAAUCUAGAGGUGAUUGAGACCAUGCAGGAUGGAGGACAGUCAACAGGUGCGGCAGCGGUAAUUUUCGAUGACUGCUUCCACUACGCAUGUGAUUUUAUCAUGACUAGAUUCGAACAUUGUAAUAGAGAGGCAAAUAGAGUAGCACUUGAACUUGCUAGAUUAGCUAGAUUUUCUUCAACUUCAGAUUGGUUCGAGGAGCCUAUCAAUGAAAUUGUACUCAUCCUCACAAACGUGUAUUGGUCAUUUCUUUUUAUUUUUUUGAGUAACAUGUAUUGGUUAUUUCUAAUGAAUAAAAUUUCAUUUUAUUUCAAAAAAAAACAUGACGUGCUGUGUUUUUCUCCCACCGGUUUUGAGUAG